GGUCAAGUGAAGAAGCGCAUACGGUGGAUGCCUUGGCAGUCAGAGGCGAUGAAAGACGUGGUAGCCUGCGAAAAGCUUCGGGGAGUCGGCAAACAGACUUUGAUCCGGAGAUGUCUGAAUGGGGGAACCCAGCCAUCAUAAGAUGGUUAUCUUAAGCUGAAUACAUAGGCUUAAGAGGCGAACCAGGGGAACUGAAACAUCUAAGUACCCUGAGGAAAAGAAAUCAACCGAGAUUCCCUUAGUAGUGGCGAGCGAACGGGGACUAGCCCUUAAGUGGCUUUGAGAUUAGCGGAACGCUCUGGAAAGUGCGGCCAUAGUGGGUGAUAGCCCUGUACGCGAAAAUCUCUUAGUCAUGAAAUCGAGUAGGACGGAGCACGAGAAACUUUGUCUGAAUAUGGGGGGACCAUCCUCCAAGGCUAAAUACUACUGACUGACCGAUAGUGAACUAGUACCGUGAGGGAAAGGCGAAAAGAACCCCGGAGAGGGGAGUGAAAUAGAUCCUGAAACCGUAUGCGUACAAGCAGUGGGAGCCCACUUUGUUGGGUGACUGCGUACCUUUUGUAUAAUGGGUCAGCGACUUAUUUUCAGUGGCGAGCUUAACCGAAUAGGGGAGGCGUAGCGAAAGCGAGUCUUAAUAGGGCGUCUAGUCGCUGGGAAUAGACCCGAAACCGGGCGAUCUAUCCAUGGGCAGGUUGAAGGUUGGGUAACACUAACUGGAGGACCGAACCGACUACCGUUGAAAAGUUAGCGGAUGACCUGUGGAUCGGAGUGAAAGGCUAAUCAAGCUCGGAGAUAGCUGGUUCUCCUCGAAAGCUAUUUAGGUAGCGCCUCAUGUAUCACUGUAGGGGGUAGAGCACUGUUUCGGCUAGGGGGUCAUCCCGACUUACCAAACCGAUGCAAACUCCGAAUACCUACAAGUGCCGAGCAUGGGAGACACACGGCGGGUGCUAACGUCCGUCGUGAAAAGGGAAACAACCCAGACCGUCAGCUAAGGUCCCAAAGUUAUGGUUAAGUGGGAAACGAUGUGGGAAGGCUUAGACAGCUAGGAGGUUGGCUUAGAAGCAGCCACCCUUUAAAGAAAGCGUAAUAGCUCACUAGUCGAGUCGGCCUGCGCGGAAGAUGUAACGGGGCUCAAACCAUACACCGAAGCUACGGGUAUCACUUAGGUGAUGCGGUAGAGGAGCGUUCUGUAAGCCUGUGAAGGUGAGUUGAGAAGCUUGCUGGAGGUAUCAGAAGUGCGAAUGCUGACAUGAGUAACGACAAUGGGUGUGAAAAACACCCACGCCGAAAGACCAAGGUUUCCUGCGCAACGUUAAUCGACGCAGGGUUAGUCGGUCCCUAAGGCGAGGCUGAAAAGCGUAGUCGAUGGAAAACAGGUUAAUAUUCCUGUACUUCUGGUUAUUGCGAUGGAGGGACGGAGAAGGCUAGGCCAGCUUGGCGUUGGUUGUCCAAGUUUAAGGUGGUAGGCUGGAAUCUUAGGUAAAUCCGGGAUUC
rnacentral:rRNA from 1 species